rnacentral:rRNA from 1 species
CACUAUGCUCAGCCCUAAAAUUUGAUAGGCCCCUACGCCCCCUAUCCGCCCGGGUACUACGAGCAUUAGCUUGAAACCCAAAGGACUUGGCGGUGCUUCACAUCCGUCUAGAGGAGCCUGUUCUAGAACCGAUAACCCCCGUUAAACCUCACCCUCCCUUGUUAAUACCGCCUAUAUACCGCCGUCGUCAGCCUACCCUGUGAAGGCCCAGAAGUGAGCAAGAUUGGUAAGACCCAAAACGUCAGGUCGAGGUGUAGUGUAUGAGAGGGGAAGAAAUGGGCUACAUUUCCUAACCCAGGAAAUACGAAUAAUGAACUGAAAUAAGCAUUAGAAGGUGGAUUUAGCAGUAAGCAGAAAAACAGAGCGUUUCGCUGAAGAUUCGGCAAUAAAGCACGCACACAUCGCCCGUCACUCUCCCCGAGCCAUCCUAAUAAUUAAUACCUAAAAAACCACAUCUGCAAAGGGGAGGCAAGUCGUAA